CCUACGGGAGGCAGCAGUGAGGAAUAUUGGACAAUGGAUGGAAAUCUGAUCCAGCCAUGCCGCGUGCAGGAUGACGGCCCUAUGGGUUGUAAACUGCUUUUGUAUGGGAGCAAUAAGCCCUUCGUGAAGGGUGAUGAGAGUACCAUACGAAUAAGCAUCGGCUAACUCCGUGCCAGCAGCCGCGGUAAUACGGAGGAUGCGAGCGUUAUCCGGAUUUAUUGGGUUUAAAGGGUGCGUAGGCGGUUGGAUAAGUCAGCGGUGAAAGUUUUCUGCUUAACAGGAAAAAUGCCGUUGAUACUGUCUGGCUAGAAUAUGGUUGCUGUGAGUGGAAUGUGUGGUGUAGCGGUGAAAUGCUUAGAUAUCACACAGAAUAUCGAUUGCGAAGGCAGCUCACAAAGCCAUUAUUGACGCUGAGGCACGAAAGUGUGGGGAUCAAACAGGAUUAGAUACCCUGGUAGUCCACACUGUAAACGAUGAUAACUCGCUGUCGGCGAUACACAGUCGGUGGCCAAGCGAAAGCGAUAAGUUAUCCACCUGGGGAGUACGACCGCAAGGUUGAAACUCAAAGGAAUUGACGG
rnacentral:rRNA from 1 species